CGGCAACAGCUCAAAUUUGAAAUCUGGCUCCUUCGGGGCCCGAGUUGUAAUUUGGAGAGGAUGUUUCGGGCACGGUCCGGGCUUAAAUUUCUUGGAACAGAAUGUCACGGAGGGUGAGAAUCCCGUCUGGAGCUCGGACACGACCCAUGUGAAACUCCUUCGACGAGUCGAGUUGUUUGGGAAUGCAGCUCUAAAUGGGUGGUAAAUUUCAUCUAAAGCUAAAUAUUGGCCAGAGACCGAUAGCGCACAAGUAGAGUGAUCGAAAGAUGAAAAGCACUUUGAAAAGAGAGUUAAACAGUACGUGAAAUUGUUGAAAGGGAAGCGCUGGCAACCAGACUUGCGCGUCGGGGUUCCCCCUUGCUUCUGCCUGGGUUACUCCCCGGCGUUCAGGCCAACAUCGGUUUCGGGGGUCGGUUAAAGGCCCUGGGAAUGUACCUACCCUCCGGGGUAGACUUAUAGCCCAGGGUGUCAUGCGGCCUCCCGGGACCGAGGAACGCGCUUCGGCUCGGAUGUUGGCGUAAUGGUUGUCAGCGACCCGUCUUGAAACACGGACCAAGGAGUCUAACAUCUAUGCGAGUGUUAGGGUGUCAAACCCUUACGCGGAAUGAAAGUGAACGGAGGUAGGAAGCCUUACGGCUGCACUAUCGACCGAUCCUGAAGUUUACGGAUGGAUUUGAGUAAGAGCAUAGCUGUUGGGACCCGAAAGAUGGUGAACUAUGCCUGAAUAGGGUGAAGCCAGAGGAAACUCUGGUGGAGGCUCGCA
rnacentral:rRNA from 1 species